rnacentral:rRNA from 1 species
UUUUUCUCAAUGGGCGCAAGCCUGAUCCAGCAAUGCCGCGUGAGUGAUGAAGGCCUUAGGGUUGUAAAGCUCUUUUACCCGGGCUGAUAAUGACAGUACCGGGAGAAUAAGCUCCGGCUAACUCCGUGCCAGCAGCCGCGGUAAUACGGAGGGAGCUAGCGUUAUUCGGAAUUACUGGGCGUAAAGCGCACGUAGGCGGCUUUGUAAGUUAGAGGUGAAAGCCCAGAGCUCAACUCUGGAAUUGCCUUUGAUACUGCAUCGCUUGAAUCCAGGAGAGGUGAGUGGAAUUCCGAGUGUAGAGGUGAAAUUCGUAGAUAUUCGGAAGAACACCAGUGGCGAAGGCGGCUCACUGGACUGGUAUUGACGCUGAGGUGCGAAAGCGUGGGGAGCAAAC